CUAGCCGCACACCUCCAAUUAAACCAUUGUUCACCUCCAAAAAUCUGAUGCACCGCGAUGCCACCACCGGCUCUCCCCGUUGUCUUGGAGCUAUCACGCCAUGUCAGAGAGAGAGAGCCUCGUCAUCACUGGUCAAACGUCUCACGUGUUGUUGUCUCGCAUCGAACUCGAGAGAUGUAUAUAUGACGUGAGGAGGAGGCGCACAAAGACGGAGCCACCGUCUCACCACCGCCGCACCGAUCAGAUCCACACUGUUGUUAGUCGCAAGCCAUUGGAGGAGGCAGUCAUGUCUCCAGAGAGUCGUGAUAGCCAGAGAUCGUACCAGCCACCGUCAUCAACCGUUAUCUAGCUAAGUGUUGCCUCCUUUGUUACUUGUGCCACAAGUAACGUAUAUACCACAGACCUUAAACGUGUCUUUGCAUGUGUUUAGGUGUAGUGAAUCUUAUGCCAACCUGGAGUUAGUUGCCCAUCAUUUUAAAAUAAGGCGUACAAAGAUUUAUGGAACAAGUUUCGCUCGACACCAUGAUUAGGUUGGAAUCUUUUAAAGUGAUGUUAGGCGAGAUCGUUCCCGAGCUUUUGAUGAGCUAUAUCCAAUAUUUGCUAAGGUGAGACAGAUGAGUAUAUGAUAUUUGGACGGAUUUGGUGCUACUGGACUUUUUAUUCGGAUUUUUAUUUGGGCUUUGGGUGAGUGUAAUUGGGUAUAUGGGCUUUAAUUAUACGAGAUAUUGUUGGUGGCCCGCUGUUCUCCGGAUUGGAGGUGACGGGUGUCAGUCUCCGUAAGAAUAAAACCGGAUUGUAACUCAACAAGGAAUCAUUAGUUUUAACACAAAAGCAACUAGUUUUAAACGUUGAAGCAUACAACACAACCAAUCACAUAGAGUUCAUAAGCAAGCAACACACAUAUAAGCUUAAGUAAAAAAAGUAGGAUAGAGAGUAUAUAUGUGGCUCGAGACUGAAGGGACACACAAUUAUAAA